GCCAUAUAUUUCACAAGAUCGUCAUGAAAACUGGUCAGAAUGUUCACCUUGAUGAUAUCUAGGUCAAGUUCGAAACUGGGUCACGUGCCUUUAAAAACUAGGUCAGUAGGUCUAAAAAUAGAAAAACCUUGUGACCUCUCUAGAGGCCAUAUAUUUCAGAAGAUCUUCAUGAAAAUUGGUCAGAACGUUCACCUUGAUGAUAUCUAGGUCAAGUUUGAAACUGGGUCACGUGCCGUCAAAAACUAGGUCAGUAGGUCAAAUAGUAGAAAAACCUUGUGACCGCUCUAAAGGCCAUAUUUUUCAUGGGAUCUAUAUGAAAGUUGGUCUGAAUGUUCAUCUUGAUGAUAUCUAGGUCAAGUUCGAAACUGGGUAACGUGCAGUCAAAAGCUAGGUCAGUAGGUCUAAAAAUAGAAAAACCUUGUGACCUCUCUAGAGGCCAUAUAUUUCAUGAGAUCUUCAUGAAAAUUGUUCAAAAUGUUCACCUUGAUGAUAUCUAGGUCAAGUUCGAAAGUGGGUCACGUGCCAUCAAAAACUAGGUCAGUAGGUCAAAUAAUAGAAAAACCUUGUGACCUCUCCAGAGGCCAUAUUUUUCAUGGGAUCUGUAUGAAAGUUGGUCAGAAUGUUCAUCUUGAUGAUAUCUAGGUCAAGUUCGAAAGUGGGUCACGUGCCUUCAAAAACUAGGUCAGUAGGUCAAAUAAUAGAAAAACCUUGUGACCUCUCUAAAGGCCAUAUUUUUCAUGGGAUCUGUAUGAAAAUUAGUCUGAAUGUUCAUCUUGAUGAUAUCUAGGUCAAAUUCGAAACAGGGUCAUGUGCGGUUAAAAACUAGGUCAGUAGGUCUAAAAAUAGAAAAACCUUGUGACCUCUCUAGAGGCCAUACUUGUGAAUGGAUCUCUAUAAAAAUUGGUCAGAAUGUUCACCUUGAUGAUAUCUAGGUCAGGUUUGAAACUGGGUCACGUGCCUUAAAAAACUAGGUCAGUAGGUCAAAUAGUAAAAAAAGCCUUUUGACCUCUCUAGAGGCCAUACUUUUCAUGGGAUCUGUAUGAAAGUUGGUCUGAAUGUUCAUCUUGAUGAUAUCUAGGUCAAGUUUGAAACUGGGUCAACUGCGAUCAAAAACUAGGUCAGUAGGUCUAAAAGUAGAAAAACCUUGUGACCUCUCUAGAGGCCAUAUUUUUCAUGAGAUCUUCAUGAAAAUUAGUGAGAAUGUUCACCUUGAUGAUAUCUAGGUAAAGUUCAAAACAGGGUCACGUACCUUCGAAAACUAAGUCAAUAGGUCAAAUAAUAGAAAAACCUUGUGACCUCUCUAGAGACCAUAUUUUUCAAUGGAUCUUCAUGAAAAUUGGUCAGAAUUUUUAUCUUGAUAAUAUCUAGGUCAAGUUCAAAACUAGGUCACUAUGUCAAAUAAUAGAAAAAACGAUGUCAUACUCAAAACUGGGUCAUGUGGGAAGAGGUGAGCGAUUCAGGACCAUCAUGGUCCUCUUGUUUAGUUAUUCAAAUGUUUAUAAAGCUUGCCAUGAUGUGUGUUUGAACUGAUCUCAUAUUGUUAUAACAGAUAAAUCAUCCAUUUUAUUAAGUACUUAAUUCCUUUUGGUAAAUGGAACCAUAAAUGAUUAUGUAUGGAAAGAUUUGUAGGAUUUGCCUGAUAAAUAUGGAUUUAAGGCGGCGAGUCAUAUUUGUAAGGGGUCUUGUUAUUUAGAGAUCUAUUUCUUUCUACAUGUACUUGAAAAUACACUGUCAUGAUGACUGAAAGUAAAAAUUUCAUAUUUGUGCUUCAGAUUCUUACAACAUGGGUCAUUGAAAGUAACAAAAAAAGGUCUUGAAUAUGCAAUACAGAUUAACAUACUGUUUCUUGCAGAUCAAUUUAAUGUAGCCAAAAUGUCAUUGAUUAUAUUCUCAAGGUAACCAUGUUACAAUAUCGUUGAAAAGUAAUUCAGCUUUAAAAUCUGUAAUCCAUUUGAUUCUAACAUGCUUGAUGUUAAGUUGUUUAUUAUGAUGCUGCUACUUCAAAUAUCGUAAAUUGCUGGAAAAAAACCACUUUUCCCUAGACAAGACAUAAUCUGUGGAAAAGCCUUUUACCACAUGUUAAUUGGUUGCCAAUUAACAGAUUUAUUACUGUUCAAAGAAUACAUGUCUGUACCAUGAAUAAUAUGUUAGAAUCUUGUAACAAACAGAAGGACUUCAGGUUUUCCAUAAAAAUUUCUCCAGCAUCCUUAAAUUUUCUUCUCCAAACUGCUUUCUUUCCAGUUUACGAUGACAUGGAAUAUAAUUGAGAUUCUAAUUCUAAAAAUUUAAAGUGACGUUCCAAAUGACACAAUCAUAUUUUGAAAUAUGACUCGCUACCUUGAAUUGUCAAUGUUUUUCCAGUUUCAAAAAAAGUUAACAUAAAUCCUGAAGGUAGUCUUUAAACAUAUAGCUGUAUAUUUGUUCAUUGUACAUAUAUGUGUUUCUCUAAAAAAAAAGUGUUCAAAAUACAUGUACUUGUUCAUAAAGUAGUAAACCUAAGAUUUUUGCAUUGUCGACUUCUUCCACUGUGUUUAUAAGUGUUUUAGGUUUAUUCUUGAAACUGUUUAUUGAGUAAAAUCUAUUUCGAAUCAUGUUUAUCUCAUCUUGAAAAACAAAAAGCAAUUUACUCCAGACAGUUUUGUAACAUCUGUUAGCUUCUUUAGUUAAGUAUUGAUGGACAGUCUGUCUGUCAUUUCAAGGUAAUUUUACAAUUUUAGAUAGUCAACAGACUACCUCUUCAUAUGAGAGAAGUGACUGUUUUAGUCAGGGAAAGUUUUUUUGUGUUUUUUUUUUGUCCACAUGCUGUCUCUGUAUUGAUAUGGCUAAAACUAGUCUUGUAAUUUUUGUUCAUCAUUUCUUUGAAGGAACUGCCAUAUUUGGCAGUAUUGGGUUAAAUAUGGGCAUUAUCCAAUUUGCCAAAGUUUUUGCAAAAAUUUUGAUAGAGGUUACCACAGUGAUGUAUAACACAUGUACAUGUUUAUGCAUGAUUUGUUGCUUUAAAACCAUAUAGCAUUUGACUGUGGAAUGGCAUUGUGUAGCAAGAGUAUUUGAGCCAUGUGAAAUCUUGUAUGUUGUUGGAUAUUUUCUAUGAUUUUGUCCUCUGAAAACAGGAACAACGAAUGAACACUGUUAAUUGUUUGCUCCAUUAAUAUUCCUCAGUUUUGAUAUAUUUUGUCUGAAAGCUUGUUCACAUUUUUGUAUGAAAAUCUAGUUAUGGAAAGACCGAGGAACCUUGGUCUUGUAGUUGAUCACAAUGUAGGUAUCUCAUGCUUGUCACAGUUUUCAAGCAGUUGUUAUAGCUUUGGAGCAGGCUAACUGAAAAAUCCAUUGCCAUGUGGCCACAGUUAUUAAUGUUCCAACAACAAUGUAAAAGUACGACAUCCAGUUAAGUUAUUUCUUUGUUACAAGCUCGGAGUCAGAAGGUAGUUUCAAUACAGAUGUUUUAAAAAAAUUUCAUUAAACUGCAGCUUGGUAAAACAUUUAAAAUAAUGGUAGAAAAAAGAAACUACCAUUCAUUUGAAUAGUACCUUUGUAAAGAGACAGUAACCAUUUUUGGAAUCAUGUUGUUCUUUCCUUAUAUAGUCAUUACCAAAUAUGAUAGUAAAGAUCUGUAAAAUAUGACAGUGCGUACCACUGCAGAGUAAAACUCUAAACAUGAAAAUAUAUAUAUUAAUGUUUUUAGCUCACCUGAGCCAAAGGCUAAUGGUGAGCUUUUGUGACCGCUCAAUGUCCGUCGUCCAUCAUGUGUCGUGUGUCCGUCAACAUUUUCUAAAAAAAUCUUCUCCUUCAGAACUACUGGGCAGAAUUUCACCAAACUUCACAGGAAUGAUCUUUGGGUGGUCCCCUUUCAAAAUUAUUCAAAGAAUUUAAUUCCAUGCAGAACUCUGAUUGCCAUGGCAACUGAAAGGAAAAACUUAAAAAAUCUUCUUGUCCGAAACCGCAAGACAUAGAGCCUUGAUAUUUGGCAUGUGACAUCAUCUUAUGGUCCUCUAUCGAGGUUGUUCAUAAUUGUGCCCCUGGGUUGAAAAGAGGCCCCACCCCGGGGGUCACAAGUUUUACAUAGACUUAUAUAGGAAAAAACUUCAAAAAUCUUCUUGUCUAAAACCAUAAGACCUAGACCUUUGAUAUUUGGUAUGUAGCAUUGCCUUGUGGUCCUCUAUAAAGAUUGUUCAAAUUGUGCCCCUGGUGUGAAAAGAGGCCACGCAUUGGGGAUCCCAAGUUUUACAUAGACAUAUAUAGGGGAAAACUACAAGGUCUAGGCUUUUGAUAUUUGGUGUGUUGCAUUCCCUUGUGGUUCUCUACCAAAAUUAUUCAAAUUAUUACCCUGGGGUGAAAAGAGGCCCUACCCUGGGGGUCCCAAGUUUAACAUAGACUUAUAUAGGGACAAAAAUAAAAAUCUUCUUGUCUGAAAGUUCAAGGCCUAAACCCUGGUGGUCACUUGUUAUAUGAGUUAUAUAGGAAAAAAUACUUCAAAAAUUAUCAGAUCGUAUUUCCUGGACUGUUUAAUUAUAUUUAUCUGUUGUAUCCAAGUGAUUACUUGUCACCUUACUGUAACCUUGACCUACUGACCUACUUUCCUGUUUUUUGAGAUACAGCCUUGAAAUUUGGAUGACAUGUAGAUUUUUGCAUACUGAUCUUAAAACUGACUUUCAGUUACCAUGAAUGUGACCUACUGACCUACUUCUAAUAUUUUAGCAUCAGUUUGCCAUUUUUAAAGCUUCAGCUACAAAAUUUGUUCAAGCAAACAACUCUACUCAGGUGAGCGAUAUAGGGCCAUCAUGGCCCUCUUGUUCUAAAUUUGUAAUAAACACUAGUCUUAUAAGUAAGUACAAUUUUAUAUGAAAGUUUCUGUAAUCAUUUUAUAUUAUAUGAAAUUGUCAUAGUGCUUAAAUAACUAGCAUGCUUUUUUUCAUCCUGUCAUGGGUAUCGUUUCUAUUUAUGCUACAGAUUUAUUUGAUUUUAUUGCUUAAAUUUUUGGGGGGUAUUGUGACUUUCUUUGGUAAUAAAUUGUCACAGUUACAGCUAUGGAAGUUAGUCAAACCGUUUCUUUAAGUAUGGGGAAAUAGUUUUAGUACAUUAUGAUGCCUCUUUAUGAUAUUUAACACUUUUUGCACAAUUUGUCUUUCAUUAAAAGCCAGUACCCCAUUGAAAUUUAGGGAGAUGUUAGGCUGAAUAAAUUUAUUCCAGUUUUGCUUCAUUGUAUAGUUUGGGAUGUUUAAAUAGUUUCGUACUGUCAUUUUAUUAUACACCAUGAUACAGUCAAACUUCGUUUGCUCAAACUUGGAUGAAUCAAACACUAGCCUUCGUUCGAACUCAUCGUCAGGUCCCAGCAAAAUCCCUAUAUAAUGCAUUUUGUUUGAUGCCUUGAACUUGUCUACAGGUAACUCGAACUAAUUUUACUGGUCCCGUCAAGUUCAAGCAAAUCAAAUUUGACUGUACUUUGCCUUGUUAGCUCAUUAAAUAGAGCACAAGAUCAUAACUUAAGAUGUCAUGAUCCGCAGGUAAGGUGAAUGUUGAAAUGUGAGGUCAUGAAUGACAUCCACCAGCGAAGCAAAAUGUUGAAUUCUGACGUAAUGAGUUUUAAUCCAAAGACAAGGCGAAAUGUUGAAUUGUGAUUGGUUGUGAGUUUGUUCCACAGGUAAGGUGGAUGUUGAAAUGUGAGGUCAUGAAUGACAUCCACCAGCGAAGCAAAAUGUUGAAUUCUGACGUAAUGAGUUUUAAUCCAAAGGCAAGGCGAAAUGUUGAAUUGUGAUUGGUUGUGAGUUUGUUCCACAGGUACGGUGAAUGUUGAAUUCAGGAGCUCAUGAGUUUGGUCCAAAGACUAGGUAUAAUGUUGAAUUGCAAGGUUUUAUCCGUGGACUCUCCCGUAAUCAUUUAAGUGUUUUUAAAUGGCGCUUCAUCCCAAUGUAAUAGGGAAAAGAAAACGACAAAAAAAACACAUUGUGUAAACAAGAUUUUUUUCUGUAAAUAUGUUGUUCUAGAGAUGUUGUUAUUGGUAUAAUGUUGUAGAUAUUGUUAAUGUUUGAUAAACUUGAAUACUUACUAAACUGUUUGAUCAUUUUAUUUUUCUUUUAAUCAAAGUCAGAUAUAUUGUGUUCAUCCAAAAUUGUGUUUAGUUGAUUGAUAACUUUAAUGUGAUAUUUUUACAAUUUCUUUUGCUUCACUUGAAUAAAAAUAGAAUGCUUGUACUUUAGUUUACAGAUAAUUAUUUUGGUCUUUCAGAGCUUCUUUGAAUUAUAUGUUCUCCUGUUAAUAGCCAGUCUGAUUUCUGAGCUGAUUCUCAGCUAAAGUGCAUUUGUGCAUUUUUACUCGUUUUAUGCCUCCCCAGUUUUGAAAACCAGGGAAGCAUAUUCUGUUUGAAUGGUCCGUCCAUCAGCCUGUCACUCACACUUCAAGUUUUUUAUAUAUUUUUUGAGUUAUGGCCCUUUUUGGACUUGGAAAUGUUACAACUGCAUCAAAACAUUCCUGUUGGAUUGUUUUUCCUGGAGUUUUGGCCGUGGCCCUGUUGUGGACUUUAUGAUUCUAUCAAGCAUUUUAGGGGUUAAUGCAAUAUUGACAUCAUUAUUCUUAUCUUUACACCUUUUAAGAUCUUUUAACUGAAACCUUCAAGUUAGAAAUUUUAGUAAGAAUAGUAUAAAGUGAUUAUAGCAGCACUUCAAUUUCUAUCAUGCACCACUUUGUAACUUUAUCAACUAUGCAUUUAUAACUUUAGAAGGAAAUAGAUAUUCCCAUUUUGAUUUUAUAUUAUUUUCCAUAUUUAAUUCUUUACAAAAUGGAACUGUUACAUGUAUAUACUCUGUAUCAAUGUUAGGUAUUUUGAAAUUUCUUUCUUAUGGUGAUUAUGAUUGACUUCACUUAGGAAGAGUUUAAGUCAAGUUGUUUUGUACAGCAUACAGGUAUGUAAUGAUGUGAGGGUAGAUAAGCAAUUAUUCUGGACUUUUGCUAUAUAUAUUUCAGUUACUUGUAAAGAUAAAAUAGCGAAAUAUUGGAAGAUGAUAUACUGAAAUGUCUAAAAUUUAAUAGUGUUGCAGUUAAAAAUUUGCAGUGAUUAUCAGUGAUUCUGAGCAAGUGCUCCUGAAAAAAGAGUGAAGUAACUUUCAGAAUAAAUUUAUCUCAAAAUUUUAGCUAUCUCGAGACAUUUUCAAGUCUGGUUAUAAAAACACAUGCACAAAAUAUCAUUUUAAGUAGAGUUUCGGUUAUCUCAAAGUAAAAUGCUCAAUCCCUUAGAAUUCGAGAUACCGCGUUUCAACUGUUUAUGCAAAUACAUGUAUAAGGAAGAGUGGUUCGUAAACAUUGUUGAUUAAGGAAGUAAAAAUGUGUUACUAGUAAGGGAGAAUAUUUUGAAAAAUUUUGAUUUCCAAAAAGUCAUUAUUGACAGUCCAACAUUAAUUAUGCAACUGAUAUACACUGCUACAUAUAAGAUGACCAGUUGUAAAUACAUGUCCUGGGACUAUAUGCAACUCAAUUGCUGUAGUACAUUUAGACAUGAUAGUCUGUUAUCUGCAGUUUUGUGUGAUAUAAUUUUAUGAUGCAAUUAUCAUUCCUUUGUAUUCAGAAAUAAAAAUUCAUACAAAUUUAAUGUUGUUGCCAAAAUUGAGCAGAACAAAAAAAAAUCUAUCCAUUUUAAUCUUGUAGGUUCAUUUACAUACUUGCACAGCAUAGUUUAACACAAAAAAAGUGUGACCCUAGAAAAAUCCAAGAUAUUGCCAUUUGUAAUGAAUUUUAACUGUUUCCACUGUACAUUGUCAGGAAAUAAUCAUGCCAGUAUUGUUGUACAUUGUUUAGAUUAGGCAUUCAUUUAAAAUUCUGGUCAUACAUACUGCUAAUAUUAUUGUCACAAGAACCUGUCUUAUAAAUUAGUAUGCUGUUUAGAGCUUAACUUUUCUGUUCUGUUUUAGUUAAGUAUAUUUUUCAUAGUUUAUCAUUUGUUAGUUUUCAUCUUUGCAUGGUGAUAUUUAAUCUUUUAAGAUGGUGAUAUAUCAAAGUUAUGCAUUUAUUACUUUUUCAAAUAAAAAAAAGAUUCUGCACUG